ACUCAUUUUAUAUUACCACUCUUUCUCUAUAUAUAUCUUUAAAUAUCAAUAUACCUUUUGAAAAUAUGAUUAAAGAAGAAUCUUGGUAUAAUUUUAUUCAUUAAUUCAUUAAUAAAUGAAAGAACCCAUCCCAUUUUUUUUUUUUAAACAUGCAAACCGGACUAACCCAAUUAAUUCGAACCAGCUAAACCGACAUAAUAAUUUAAAUCAAUUAAACCAAACAAUAGUAACCAGCGGAAAACUUAACCAAAAAUCCAAUAAAACAAUUCCAUUAAACCAACAAGUUCAACCAAACAUUAUUCCAAAACAUGAUCAUCCUAACAUGUUUCUAAAUUCCAUUCUAAAACCCUAAUAAAUCCAACAAUAACCUAAAACACCAAUGAGUGCCUAGAUCAUCCUCCUCUCCUUGCCAUGAUUCCACGGAUCACACUUUGCUUUUACCUGCAUCAAAGAAAGAGAUGCAUAAGUAUUUCAUAAAUACUUAGUGAGACAAUCAUCCCACCACUGGCUAUACACACAAGCAGAAAUGAACACAUUCAAGUAUAACUCAAACAACCACCAAUACAACGCAAAACAACACAACAUGACCCGUUCUGACGAGCAGUGUCGAUCGACACCAUCCGCUGGUGUCGCUCGACACUCGCGACCAUCCUUGCGAGAAAGAAAGUUGGUGUCGAUCGACACCCUCCCUUGGUGUCGAGCGACACCGAAACCCUAACAUCGCUCCAGCCGCUUCUCAUCGACGAAUCCACCAACUGCAGGACUCCAGGCCUGAUCUAUCUCCUUCUCAGACUCGUACCAAGACACCAUAUCACAUAGACAAGCAUACAAACACAGAAAUCAAAGAUCAAUCAGAAGGAGCACUCAAAAUAUGUAUCAAAACUGCUUAGAUCAGCCUAGUCAUGCACUCACCUUUCCAAAGGACAGAAAACAAGAACGAACAGAUCACAAC
rnacentral:lncRNA from 1 species